rnacentral:snRNA from 1 species
GUGACUGCUUCGGCAGCACAUAUACUAAAAUUGGAAUGACACAGAGAAGAUUAGCAUGGCCCCUGCUCAAGGAUGACAUGUAAAUAAUAUUU